GCAUCACUACCAGUCUUAAGCAGAUAUAAUGUGAAACAAGAAAGGAGUUGGGAUGAUAAUAGCUUAUCACCAUGAGAUUUAUGUGAAAAUGAUUGAAUAUCAUUAAUGUACAAGCACAAAUGGAGCAUGAAGAUGAGGAAAGCAAUACCAGAUUGAAUCAGUCUCGCGUCUUCAAGGAGACGAUAACACUUUGGUGCUAGCAGGAAAAACCAGCUCCAUGAACAAGACGCAAUAA
rnacentral:misc_RNA from 1 species